UCGGGAAUUUUGGGCAAUGGGCGAAAGCCUGACCCAGCAACGCCGCGUGAAGGAUGAAGUAUUUCGGUAUGUAAACUUCGAAAGAAUAGGAAGAAUAAAUGACGGUACUAUUUAUAAGGUCCGGCUAACUACGUGCCAGCAGCCGCGGUAAUACGUAGGGACCAAGCGUUGUUCGGAUUUACUGGGCGUAAAGGGCGCGUAGGCGGCAAUUCAAGUCAUCUGUGAAAUCUCCGGGCUUAACUCGGAACGGUCAGAUGAUACUGCCUUGCUAGAGUGCAGAAGGGGCAAUCGGAAUUCUUGGUGUAGCGGUGAAAUGCGUAGAUAUCAAGAGGAACACCUGAGGUGAAGACGGGUUGCUGGGCUGACACUGACGCUGAGGCGCGAAAGCCAGGGGAGCAAACGGGAUUAGAUACCCAAGUAGUCCCUGAGCGGGCUGGCAAGGCGCAU
rnacentral:rRNA from 1 species